rnacentral:rRNA from 1 species
AGAGUUUGAUCCUGGCUCAGGAUGAACGCUAGCUACAGGCUUAACACAUGCAAGUCGAGGGGAAACGACAUUGGAAGCUUGCUUCCUUUGGGCGUCGACCGGCGCACGGGUGAGUAACGCGUAUCCAACCUUCCCGCAAGUAAGGGAUAACCCGUAGAAAUGCGGCCUAAUACCUUAUGUUUUCCUUAGAGGGCAUCUGAUGAGGAACAAAGAUCCGUCGCUUGCGGAUGGGGAUGCGUCUGAUUAGUUAGUCGGCGGGGUAACGGCCCACCGAGACGACGAUCAGUAGGGGUUCUGAGAGGAAAGUCCCCCACAUUGGAACUGAGACACGGUCCAAACUCCUACGGGAGGCAGCAGUGAGGAAUAUUGGUCAAUGGGCGGAAGCCUGAACCAGCCAAGUAGCGUGCAGGACGACGGCCCUAUGGGUUGUAAACUGCUUUUAUGCGGGGAUAAAGUGGGCCACGUGUGGCCUUUUGCAGGUACCGCAUGAAUAAGGACCGGCUAAUUCCGUGCCAGCAGCCGCGGUAAUACGGAAGGUCCGGGCGUUAUCCGGAUUUAUUGGGUUUAAAGGGAGCGCAGGCCGCCGGGCAAGCGUGUUGUGAAAUGCAGUCGCUCAACGUCUGCACUGCAGCGCGAACUGCCCAGCUUGAGUGCGCGCAACGUUGGCGGAAUUCGCCGUGUAGCGGUGAAAUGCUUAGAUAUGGCGAAGAACUCCGAUUGCGAAGGCAGCUGACGGGUGCGUAACUGACGCUCAUGCUCGAAAGUGCGGGUAUCGAACAGGAUUAGAUACCCUGGUAGUCCGCACGGUAAACGAUGGAUGCCCGCUAUUCGGCCCAUGGGGUUGAGUGGCCAAGCGAAAGCGUUAAGCAUCCCACCUGGGGAGUACGCCGGCAACGGUGAAACUCAAAGGAAUUGACGGGGGCCCG